CCUACGGGAGGCAGCAGUGGGGAAUAUUGCACAAUGGGGGGAACCCUGAUGCAGCGACGCCGCGUGAGUGAAGAAGUAUUUCGGUAUGUAAAGCUCUAUCAGCAGGGAAGAAAAUGACGGUACCUGACUAAGAAGCCCCGGCUAACUACGUGCCAGCAGCCGCGGUAAUACGUAGGGGGCAAGCGUUAUCCGGAUUUACUGGGUGUAAAGGGAGCGUAGACGGCAGAGCAAGUCUGAAGUGAAAGCCCGGGGCCCAACUGCGGGACUGCUUUGGAAACUGCCCGGCUAGAGUGCUGGAGAGGUAAGCGGAAUUCCUAGUGUAGCGGUGAAAUGCGUAGAUAUUAGGAGGAACACCAGUGGCGAAGGCGGCUUACUGGACAGUAACUGACGUUGAGGCUCGAAAGCGUGGGGAGCAAACAGGAUUAGAUACCCCGGUAGUC
rnacentral:rRNA from 1 species